UUACGAUCAUAUCACGCUGAAACACCAAUUCCCGUACGAUCACUGAAGUUAGACAACGUCGAGCCAGGUCAGUACCUAGACGGGUGACCGCUUGUGAAUACCAAGUGAUGUAAG
rnacentral:rRNA from 1 species